rnacentral:rRNA from 1 species
GCCUACAGCCAUAUCAGCCUGGGUAUACCAGUUCUCGUCUAAUCACUGAAGUCAAGCAGGGUAGGGCCAUAUCAGUACUUGGGUGGGUGACUGCAUAUGAGCACAUGUUGAUGUAGGCU